GGUGGGAUAGGAGAUGUUUUUCUGGCACAUAUUUUACCAUAUCAUCUGAAAAACUCCUCAUGACGCCAUAGCACCCAUUGAAAUAGAGUGUUUGGAAAAAAAACGAAAUCUUUUGGUCCAGUGUAGAGGGCGUAGUCAGAAGAAAACGGCAACCAAUAGAAGUAAUACUCAUCAUCACUUCUAUUGGUUUCUGACACGUCCAUCAACCGCCAGCACUCACCCCUCCUCCCUGCGCGUUCACCGACUCGUGAACUUGACCGACCCCGCCCCCAUCAUUCAUGCACACGCGACAAGGCUCAUCAUCACUCGGCUAGUAGCAAGGUAACGAGAGUUAGCAGCAGGCUGAGCUACUUGGAAACUUUGGUGGCUUUUGCAGAGCUACAGGAAGAACUUUGGCUUUUGGAACACUAGAACCAUGUCAGGAUAACAUACUCCCUUGGAUUAUCAUCGGACUCGCAAAACCAGACUCCAACACGGGCUGAAAAUUUGAAAUGGGACCUGACACUCUUGGACACAGAUGUCGGCUACGGCAGCGGCUUCAAAUACGCUUUGGUGACCAUAUUUCUAAUCGAGAGGUGAGAUAAUAUAUUUGUCUGUAUAAUAUUUUGUGAAUUGGUUUAGGACACAGUGGUGUCUUUUUUUAAGCAAGUAUCCAUUGAGAGGGGUCAGAGGAUUAGCUCAAGCUCCAACAUAUCUAGCUGCUACCUUGCUUAACAUAGCUGCUACCUCAAUCGCUUUAAUUUUUUGUGUUUCCCCCCCUGUGGCAUUUAUUCUGUGCACAUGAACACGUUUUCAGAAUUGCUAUGUGUAACUCAGACGGUUACUCUUGUGUGUUUUGCUGCUAGUUGUGCGAACGAGCCAGACAAACCAGCUGGGAGGAGGACGGAAGCACCCCUUCUCCAUCCGCGUUCAGUUGCUAAAUACGGAUCCACCCCGUAGUAAGUAACCUACCAUGUUUACGCACACAUUACUUUGACCAGCAAAGCCCAUGUCUUUCUAGUGGUUUACAAAAAUAUAUCGUUUGCAUGUUUUGCUUUGGUACGUCUCUGUUGUAUGACUCUGGUAAUAGUAGCAAGCACAAGCACAACCUGUUCGCCGGUCCAGAAUUGCAAAAUAGAUUGCCUUGGGUUUUCAAAUGUUUACAUGAUUGUGGGUGUAAUGUUGUUAACUCGCUGAUGUCGUUUUUGAGAAGACGGUAGUUUUGCAUUUGAUAAAUACCACCUAAUGACCAUGACGGCUACACGGCAGAUCUUUAUUGUGAUGGCUACACUGAAUGAUCACAUGGAGAUGCCGGUACAUUAUUUGUUUUACCCUGGUUAUAUUGAAAUGUUCUGCUUUGUCCAUUCCAAGGUGUGUUGUUUUCCAUAGCUGUUCCUUGCUCCUGUUUCAAAACAUAUCAAGGCUGCCAAGUAAAUGAAGAAUGAAUCACCGCACACUGGUCAACAGCCGACAGGGUCCUUCCACAACCACAUACUUAUGCCAGUAAAAGCCACAGCUUUUCUCCUCCAAUCCAAGAAGCCUGGACUGCAGUCACCAUCUCAACACACCAACCAAGAGAAAGGCGGAUGGCUCAAUUCAAUAUGGAAAAUUGCACAAUAAAAGUUCCAGGACAAGAAGACUUUCUACCCUAAGAGGGAUGGCUGACCGCAGACACUCACAACCAGCACAGACGCCUCCAACCUCAAACUAGGCCCUUCACAGUUGCUGCACUUACCCACCUUCCCAGAGUUCUUGUGUGGUAAUGACAACUGUAAAUAUAGUAUAAAGUAAUGUAUCUAGUGUCAUGUGUAAUACAUUGUUUAAAUUGUCCAUACAUUUCAAUGACAGUAAAUAUUGGUGGACACAAUUUGACUGUGUGGCUUUUUUAAUUCAUUCUCUGACUGAAAAUGCAUGGUUACAUAAUUUAUAUAUUCCA